AUGAAGAACGAGGAACGAUAUAAAAUGUGGUUACUCUGCUGGAUAUGACAUACACACACACCGGUGGAAAAGUACUGCUUUGGAGUAUUUGCAGCGCCCAUUUUCAUCGGUAUCCUCUCCUGUUACCCAAUUGCUGUGCCUUCGAGUGUCCAAACGUCUUCAAGAGCUUCCGAUAAACAGGUGACCUGGAGAUGCUUUAUGUACACCCAGAAGAGGCUCCACUUUGUUUUCAACUCCAUGAAGGCAAGGGCGCCAGCAAGCGAGGAAUGCUGAUGGGACUUCGAGAUACAGCUUGGAGUUUCCAACGCAAACAAAAAGAUGGGUUAUCCGGAGGAGUUACGAGCCAACAACGCAGACAUUCUGACAGAAUUUGGUGGCGCAUGUCCUGGAAAGACUGCAGGGUUCAUCAGUGAAGUUUGCUGAUCCAGACUUUUAUUUCAAGCCUCCAACUACAAUUCCCCAGGCAUCAAAAGGCCUGAUAAAG